UUACUGGGCUUAAAGAGUUCGUAGGUGGUUAAAAAAGUUGGUGGUGAAAUCCCAGAGCUUAACUCUGGAACUGCCAUCAAAACUUUUUAGCUAGAGUAUGAUAGAGGAAAGCAGAAUUUCUAGUGUAGAGGUGAAAUUCGUAGAUAUUAGAAAGAAUACCAAUUGCGAAGGCAGCUUUCUGGAUCAUUACUGACGCUGAGGAACGAAAGCAUGGGUAGCGAAGAGGAUUAGAUACCCUCGUAGUCCAUGCCGUAAACGAUGUGUGUUAGACGUUGGAAAUUUAUUUUCAGUGUCGCAGCGAAAGCAUUAAACACACCGCCUGGGGAGUACGACCGCAAGGUUAAAACUCAAAUGAAUUGACGGGGACCCGCACAAGUAGUGGAGCAUGUGGUUUAAUUCGAAGAUACGCGCAGAACCUUACCAACACUUGACAUGUUCGUCGCGACUCUAAGAGAUUAGAGUUUUCGGUUCGGCCGGACGAAACACAGGUGCUGCAUGGCUGUCGUCAGCUCGUGUCGUGAGAUGUUGGGUUAAGUCCCGCAACGAGCGCAACCCUCACUUUUAGUUGCCAUCAUUUAGUUGGGCACUCUGAAAGAACUGCCAGUGAUAAGCUGGAGGAAGGUGGGGAUGACGUCAAGUCCUCAUGGCCCUUACGUGUUGGGCUACACACGUGCUACAAUGGCAUUUACAAUAGGAAGCAAGGUGGCGACAUCAAGCAAAUCCUAAAAAGAUGCCUCAGUUCGGAUUGUACUCUGCAACUCGAGUACAUGAAGCUGGAAUUACUAGUAAUCGCGGAUCAGCGCGCCGCGGUGAAUACGUUCCCGGGUCUUGUACACACCGCCCGUCACACCAUGGGAGUUGGUUCUACCUUAAGGCAAGGUUUUAAACCCUUGACUACGGUAUAGUCAGCGACUGGGGUGAAGUCGUA
rnacentral:rRNA from 1 species